rnacentral:rRNA from 1 species
UGAGGAAUAUUGGACAAUGGGUGGAAGCCUGAUCCAGCCAUCCCGCGUGAAGGAUGACGGUCCUAUGGAUUGUAAACUUCUUUUGUACAGGGAUAAACCUGCCCUCGUGAGGGCAGCUGAAGGUACUGUACGAAUAAGCACCGGCUAACUCCGUGCCAGCAGCCGCGGUAAUCCGGAGGGUGCGAGCGUUAUCCGGAUUUAUUGGGUUUAAAGGGUCAGUAGGCGGGCCUGUAAGUCAGUGGUGAAAUCUCAUAGCUUAACUAUGAAACUGCCAUUGAUACUGCAGGCCUUGAGUAAAUUUGAAGUGGCUGGAAUAAGUAGUGUAGCGGUGAAAUGCAUAGAUAUUACUUAGAACACCGAUUGCGAAGGCAGGUCACUAAGAUUUAACUGACGCUGAUGGACGAAAGCGUGGGGAGCGAACA